rnacentral:rRNA from 1 species
AACGAACGCUGGCGGCAUGCCUAACACAUGCAAGUCGAACGAGACCUUCGGGUCUAGUGGCGCACGGGUGCGUAACGCGUGGGAACCUGCCCUUAGGUUCGGAGUAACUCCCCGAAAGGGGUGCUAAUACCGGAUAAUGUCUUCGGACCAAAGAUUUAUCGCCUUUGGAUGGGCCCGCGUUGGAUUAGCUAGUUGGUAGGGUAAAAGCCUACCAAGGCGACGAUCCAUAGCUGGUCUGAGAGGAUGACCAGCCACACUGGGACUGAGACACGGCCCAGACUCCUACGGGAGGCAGCAGUGGGGAAUAUUGGACAAUGGGCGAAAGCCUGAUCCAGCAAUGCCGCGUGAGUGAUGAAGGCCUUAGGGUUGUAAAGCUCUUUUACCCGGGAUGAUAAUGACAGUACCGGGAGAAUAAGCUCCGGCUAACUCCGUG